CCUACGGGCGGCAGCAGUGGGGAAUAUUGCUCAAUGGGGGGAACCCUGAUGCAGCAAUGCCGCGUGGGGGAAGAAGCUCUUCGGAGUGUAAAGCCCUGUUAGUAGGGAAGAAAAUGACGGUACCUGACGAAUAAGCCCCGGCUAACUACGUGCCAGCAGCCGCGGUAAUACGGAGGGGGCAAGCGUUAUCCGGAUUGACUGGGGGUAAAGGGAGCGUAGGCGGGAUGGCAAGUCAGAUGUGAAAACCUAGGGCUUAACCACAGAAGUGCAUUGGAAACUGGUAUUCUGGAGUGCGGGAGAGGUAGGUGGAAUGCGUGGUGUAGCGGUGAAAUGCGUAGAUAUCAAGAGGAACACUCAUUGCGAAGGCGGCUUACUGGACCAUAACUGACGCUGAUGCGCGAAAGCGUGGGGAGCAAACAGGAUUAGAUACCCUUGUAGUC
rnacentral:rRNA from 1 species